rnacentral:tRNA from 3 species
AUCUUUCUAGUAUUCAAAUAGUACGGGUGACUUCCAAUCACUUAGUCUUGGUUAACCCCAGGGAAAGAUA